GUUCAAUCAAAUACCGAUGUCUUUUGGUGUUGCCUUCGAGUCAUUCCUCCUUGCUGUUUUUUUAAAUGGAAUGCCACAAGACUACUGAGGGAAACACUUCACACCCCUUGCUCAGGAGUUAGAGGACCUGGUUACAGUACUUACUUCCAGUGUGACCUUGGGCAGGUCCCAGUACUUAUUUCUAGUGUGACCUUGGGCAAGUCUGCCCGAAGCGGCUCUAGUGGGCCAGCUGACCUCUGGAACUCUCUUCCGGGCUGGACCUCUGACUGUACGAGGGCAGGACUGGGUCCCAGAGCCCUAUGUCCCAACGCAGCACCCCUGUCAGUGUUCAUGCCACAAUGGAGGCGACCUGAGAAGAAAGAGCCGAAUUUAGCCAAUCUUGAAUUUUUUGGUUUUUCCCAAGAGGGGGAGAGCCAAAGCUCUGGGAGUCUGAGGAUCACCUGGUAGACAUGUGCACAGCGUGGCUGCUGAAAGCUGGAGAGGAAUAUAUGAGCUGGAUUCUCAGGAGGAUAAAAGGAAUGAGAAUUCAGGAGUCCCCGCUUUGCUCAUGGCUUAGGCCUCUUGGCUGCUCUGACCGCAUUCUCUCUUUAUGAAGCACUUCCCUUUCCCUUUGUUAGCAUUAUAUCAGUGUCUUUACGUCAUUGGGCAGCCGGAGUUUCAAUAAAAGUUUUGAUUCGGAAAAAAAAAAAAAUGUUGGCAAGAGAGAGAAGGAGCUGCUGAGGAAAUCCCGGGAUCCAAGAAUGGGGCAGCAUGGGGAAACGGGGCGGCUUCCUCACUGCUAGAUUCCAUUUUGCUGGCCUAAAACAAGCAUAAAACCUGAGGCUGCCCAAUUCUCACCUGCCAGGGGCUCCCUUUCUUUCCAGCGUUACAGGGACCACGGGUCUUUCCAUCCACCCCGCUGCUACCCCAUCCUCCAUGAGCCCAGGACUAGCUCAGUUUUCUACACAGACCCCUGGCAAGGUCUCGGCAUGAAGCUUGUUAUGUACAAAACAGGAGAUGUUUUUUCAUUCUGUUCCUUUUUCCGACAGAAUGCCAGUUCCUCGAUGGCAGAGACAUUUUUGAUUUUGUACGUUUAACAAUUAGCACAGUUCUGGCAAA
rnacentral:lncRNA from 1 species